AGGAAUCUCCUGUGGCGAGGCAUUCCCAAGAGUGGUCUGAGUCAGAGGAAGGUCUAAGCAGGAGAACACAGAGGGUAAUCUCUCAGACUGACCAGAAUGGGGAGCCUGUAUGAGGUGCCCACAGAGAGGGGAGCCAAAAAGAUGGAGGACUGCAGUCAGCAGGCAUCCACAAAGGCCUGGUCCCAGCCGGGGGUCUCCCUGACACUGGCUGGAUGCCUCGUCUGACAAGGAUCACCCAUUGUCCUUGGAGAAGAGUCACAGUAGAUGGACCUCCCCAGACCUCUGGCUCCAGAGAAAGAUUGUACUCUGGUAGAGGCAAGAGGCUUAACACCAUGGACAAGAGUUUAACUGAACGAACCUCUGAGGAAGAGCCUGGCUAGAGACAAGCACUGGACUCUGGUGAGGGGCAACUGGACUAAGAGUGACCUGGUCACACAGCUGACAGAUGUCGAGAAACUGCAAUUCCUAUUAAGAACACUUGACUGUUUACUCAGCAAGAGAACUCCAGGCUCAAGCUGCAUCAAUCUAACUGUGUUUCAAGACGUCAGCCCCCUGAAAAGUGUAGACCGUUAUUACUGAGCAAUGUGAGGACCCCCUUAUCCCAGGACUGCUUACCUUGCUUAAAAGACUUUGGUGUGGGUCUUGUCAAAGGCUUUCUGAAAAGUCCAAGUACACUCUAUCCACUGGAUCACCCUUGUCCAUAUGCUUUUUGACUCACUCAAAGAAUUCUACAGAUUGGACCUGUAUGCCAAGGCCAUUAAGAACUGAACAGGGUAGAGAGUUCAAGGAAACAAGUCUCUUCAGACCUGAGUGUUUGUUUGCUUCACUGCAGCCAAAAACUAGCCUUUUGUUGUCAAGUAAUGUUGAUUGCUAAUUUGGCUCCUGAACCACUGAGGUCCGAGUAUCACUGCCAUACAAGAAGUUUAUGCCAUUAAAUCCACCCUACUGUAUAUAUAUGCCAUCAAGAAAAUAUGUGAUAUAGUUGAUACUCAAGGCAGCCCCUCUGACUUGCAGAUAGUGUUUGUGAA